GUUGAGGGACUGGAUCAGCUGGCCGUGUGGUGACUGGUACGGAUGGUUCCCACCCGCGGUCUCUUCUGCACUUUCACGGGUGACCGUGCCCCUGCUGUCGGUAUUGCCCCGGUCCACCCACCUCUGCCCAGGGUUCUUCUGCUCGCGCCCCACACGGCUCCGCCCGAGCCUGCGCUCGGAGCGCAGACCUGCUGGGUUCCGCCCGGCCCGAGUGUUCCCACGGGUUCUCGGUGACGCGGGGCCCGAGGUCUGGCUUUGGGGAGGGACAAGCUAAUACUGCCUGGCCCGAACCUCCGUCGGUAGAGCUUGGUCUGUCACUAGCCCGUUUUGUUUUUGCUCUCUCCCAGGGAUACUUUGCAGAGGGGAAAAGUCUGCGUCCGCCUUCUUCACUAGAAAUGGCCCAUGUGCUCUGUAACAGAGCCAGACUGGUUUCCUAUCUCCCAGGAUUUUGUUCUCUAGUGAAAAGAGUUAUCAAUCCAAGAGCCUUUUCAACUGCAGGAUCGUCAGGUUCCGAUGAGUCUCACGUGGCCACUGCACCUCCAGAUAUAUGCUCUCGGACAGUGUGGCCUGAUGAAACCAUGGGACCCUUUGGACCUCAGGACCAGAGAUUCCAGCUUCCUGGGAAUAUAGGCUUCGAUUGUCACCUCAAUGGGACAGCCUCACAGAAGAAAAGCCAGGCCCAUAAAACCUUGCCUGAUGUUCUAGCAGAGCCUCUUUCAACCGAAAGGCACGAGUUUGUGAUGGCCCAGUAUGUGAAUGAGUUUCAG
rnacentral:lncRNA from 1 species